AUGCGUAUGUUGAGAUGGAUGUGUGGUCACACGAGGAAGGAUCGAGUCCGGAAUGAUGAUAUACGAGAUAGAGUUGGGGUAGCACCAAUUGAGGAGAAGCUUGUCCAACAUCGUUUGAGAUGGUUUGGGCAUAUUCAGCGCAGGCCUCCAGAAGCUCCAGUGCAUAGCGGACGGCUAAAGCGUGCGGAGAAUGUCAAGAGAGGGCGGGGUCGACCGAUUUUGACAUGGGAGGAGUCCGUUAAAAGAGACCUGAAGGAUUGGAGUAUCGACAAAGAGCUAGCUAUGGACAGGGGUGCGUGGAAGCUUGCUAUCCAUGUGCCAGAGCCAUGA
rnacentral:rRNA from 1 species